rnacentral:misc_RNA from 1 species
GUCUUUAAAGCCAGUGAAAUGAAUCAUGUAAUUGUUAUCUUUGUUGGAACAUCAGUCAAAUCCUAUCGUGGAUCACCACCUUUUCUUAGUGGCACAGCUGCAUGCCGCUGGUAUAUAAAUCUUCCGGAGAUCCAUGAAAUCAAUACUUUCUAUGCAAGUAUCGGUGAACAAUACCAAUCAAUCCAAAAGCUUCAUAUUCAGACAAUGAACGAGAUGCAGAACAAGAUUGAGCAAAAGACAUUUUUAGAAAUGAAAUUAGUCGACCCAUUUGAUGACAUGGAUGCACAAAAUGCAAUACAUCAACAAAAUAUGAAGGAAAAACACAUUUGUAAACAAGGCCACAUCUCCUCUCAGAUGGUCCACAGGUAUAAAAUAUCUCUAUAUGCCACUGAUGGCACCUAUGAGCUAGAAUUCGUGCUCUUUGAUGAGAGAGCGACAUCACUUAUUGGGAAAACCGCAGAGAAAUUACUGAGACAAAGCAACAAAUCUGAAUUGCCGGAAGAGAUUAAAGCAAUUGUGGGUGAGAAAUUGACUGUUGUGGCCAAGUUUUUUCCAGGAAAAAGUAUUAAAAAGAGAGGACCUAACAAGGUCAACAAAGAUCCAACAUUUGAUAUUCUUAGUAUCAAAAAGAGGCAUGGAAAAGACCUACUCCUUUUCGUAUUCAAAAAAGAAGAGCCUGUUGUUCUCCACAGCGCUAGCUCAUCUCAACUUCCAAAGCUACCACCCCUAGUACCAAUAGAGCCAAAGACACAAGAUAUACAGACCUCUGGUUCAGAAGCAGCAUCACCACAUGAAUUACAACUUAUGGAGAUUGAUCAGACUAGUUGCUUUGACAACGUCAGAGUAUCAUACAAGAGAAAUUUCAAUGCAAUUGAUGACUCCGACAAGGAAGAAACACAUGGUGCUGACCAACUUUCAGUCUUUGCAAAAAGACCAAAGAUGAAGAACAA